rnacentral:rRNA from 1 species
ACGAACGCUGGCGGCGUGCCUAAUACCUGCAAGUAGAACGCUGAAGAGAGGAGCUUGCUCUUCUUGGAUGAGUUGCGAACGGGUGAGUAACGCGUAGGUAACCUGCCUUGUAGCGGGGGAUAACUAUUGGAAACGAUAGCUAAUACCGCAUAACAAUGGAUGACACAUGUCAUUUAUUUGAAAGGGGCAAUUGCUCCACUACAAGAUGGACCUGCGUUGUAUUAGCUAGUAGGUGAGGUAACGGCUCACCUAGGCGACGAUACAUAGCCGACCUGAGAGGGUGAUCGGCCACACUGGGACUGAGACACGGCCCAGACUCCUACGGGAGGCAGCAGUAGGGAAUCUUCGGCAAUGGGGGCAACCCUGACCGAGCAACGCCGCGUGAGUGAAGAAGGUUUUCGGAUCGUAAAGAUCUGUUGUAAGUCAAGAACGAGUGUGAGAGUGGAAAGUUCACACUGUGACGGUAGCUUACCAGAAAGGGACGGCUAACUACGUG